rnacentral:rRNA from 1 species
AAAAAGGUUUUGGAUCCCCUCUGGCUACAGAUUGAACGCUGGCGGCAUGCCUAACACAUGCAAUGUCGAACGGCAGCACAGAGGAGCUUGCUCCUUGGGUGGCGAGUGGCGGACGGGUGAGUAAUGCAUCGGGAUCUACCCUGACGUGGGGGAUAACCUCGGGAAACCGGGACUAAUACCGCAUACGUCCUACGGGAGAAAGCGGGGGACCUUUUAGGCCUCGCGCGGCAGGACGAACCGAUGUGCGAUUAGCUAGUUGGCGGGGUAAUGGCCCACCAAGGCGACGAUCGCUAGCUGGUCUGAGAGGAUGAUCAGCCACACUGGGACUGAGACACGGCCCAGACUCCUACGGGAGGCAGCAGUGGGGAAUAUUGGACAAUGGGCGCAAGCCUGAUCCAGCAAUGCCGCGUGUGUGAAGAAGGCCUUCGGGUUGUAAAGCACUUUUAUCAGGAGCGAAAUCUGCAUGCUUAAUACGUGUGCAGUCUGACGGUACCUGAGGAAUAAGCACCGGCUAACUUCGUGCCAGCAGCCGCGGUAAUACGAAGGGUGCAAGCGUUAAUCGGAAUUACUGGGCGUAAAGGGUGCGUAGGCGGUUCGUUAAGUCUGUCGCGAAAUCCCCGGGCUCAACCUGGGAAUGGCGAUGGAUACUGGCGAGCUAGAGUGUGUCAGAGGAUGGUGGAAUUCCCGGUGUAGCGGUGAAAUGCGUAGAGAUCGUGGAGGAACAUCAUUGGCGAAAGGCGGCCAUUCUGGGACAACACUGACGC